rnacentral:misc_RNA from 1 species
CAAGACCAUCAGCUCCUUGCUGCUGAUGUAGCCGAUAUAAUGCACGUGACAGCCCAAAUGCAGUUGAAUAGAAAUAUUGUCGGCGGGUCUCAAAAGGAAAUAAGAACGGGCAUGCCUUAGUCAAUUGGUAACACCACGAGGGAAGACUCCCACUGCAUAGUGCAAGAGCAUCCUGAAUUUGUCGGGCCAAUUUGGGAGUAAGCUUACUGUUGAUAAAUUCCUCAUGUGGAACCUUUCCACCAAUUCCACCCAGUUCAUCAAGUGUGGUGAUCUUUCCCUCUGCAAAAUGAUCCGACACAAUCUGUGCCCUUAAGCGAGGAGCAAGCUGAUUCAAUCCCUCAAGUACACGCAAUAAAGAUAGUAUAUCAUAUGUAGG